rnacentral:rRNA from 1 species
UACGGGGGGAGCAAGCGUUGUUCGGAUUUACUGGGCGUAAAGGGCGCAUAGGCGGCGUGACAAGUCACUUGUGAAAUCUCCGGGCUUAACUCGGAGCGGCCAAGUGAUACUGUCGUGCUAGAGUGCGGAAGGGGCUACUGGAAUUCUCGGUGUAGCGGUGAGAUGCGUAGAUAUCGAGAGGAACACCUGCGGCGAAGGCGGGUAGCUGGGCCGACACUGACGCUGAGGCGCGAAAGCUAGGGGAGCGAACGGG